ensembl:lncRNA
UGUGUAAAUAAUGUAGAGUGAUAAUAUUUCUGUUUCCUCUUACUAGGCCGAGCGAAGGCAAUCUUUGAUGUUCACUGUUGUAAAUACUCCAAAGAACAGCACUCGCGGUGACAGCAGGCUGCAGCGUGGCCUCAACAAGCUGCGUAACAGCGCCCGCAAAUCUCCCGCCGUGGCCGGUCGUGCCCUGCGUUCGGCGGUGGCCGGCAAGUCUCCUCGGGACUCCACUCUGAGAAAAUCUCCCCGAAACAAGUCGCCCAAAUCCUCCAAUGCCAAAAAGGGAACACAGUGACUUGCUGCGCUGAUCUAUGCUGAUCUAAGUAUUUAACUAUGAAGAUCAGGAUUAAGGUUUAAAUUUGAGAAUUCAACUGCAAAACCAUCUGUUCCCUUUUCUUUUUCUUUUUUUAUUUGUUUAUCUUUUCUCUUUGUAAUUAAGUUAUUUUUAUUAUGGGAUGCAGUGGUCUUAAUUACUGUCCUGUUUAUGUAACUGGUUGUAUAAUAUUUAAAUGUAUUCC